GAAGCGCGCCAGACCGCCGCUGGUGCAAUCUGGGAAACCAGGCACUGGAGGAACGUCCGGACUGCACAGGACAGCGUAGCAGCUAACGGCUGCCCACCGUGAGGUGAGGAUCAGAGCAACAGAGACGAGUCGGAGCAGGCUGCAAGCCACCGAAGGUGUUCUAUCGGUUGCCCGCGCAAGCGGGCACGGCUGGCGCAAGCCAGACGGUUGGAGGCGCAAGCCUCCAAGACCAUAGCCACCCGAAGCGGGCGGUGCCCGCUUCGGGUGAAACGGGCAAUCUCUACGCGCAGCAAUACCAAGUAGGCCAACGUUGAUGUGGUUCCGCAGAGUUGGCGGGUAGGUAGCAUCGAGCCGUGGUGGCGACACCCGGCCCAGAGUAAUGGCGGUCACGCUGCGGGUCUUCGCAAGAGGGCCGGCAGUGCACAGAAUCCGGCUUAUCGGCGCGCUUCACAC
rnacentral:RNase_P_RNA from 1 species